rnacentral:tRNA from 1 species
ACUUAGGUAGUUUAAAAAAAAUUUUGAUUUGUGGUGUCAGUGAUAUGAGAUUACUCUCAUCUUAGGUC